ACUCAAAUGAAUUGACGGGGGCCCGCACAAGCGGUGGAGCAUGUGGUUUAAUUCGACGCAACGCGCAGAACCUUACCCAGACUUGACAUCCUUGGAAUCCUGUAGAGAUAUGGGAGUGCCCGCAAGGGAACCAGGAGACAGGUGCUGCAUGGCUGUCGUCAGCUCGUGUCGUGAGAUGUUGGGUUAAGUCCCGCAACGAGCGCAACCCCCGCCUUUAGUUGCCAGCAUUCAGUUGGGCACUCUAGAGGGACUGCCGGUGUCAAGCCGGAGGAAGGUGGGGAUGACGUCAAGUCCUCAUGGCCUUUAUGUCUGGGGCUACACACGUGCUACAAUGGUCGGUACAAAGGGUUGCGAAAGCGCGAGCUGAAGCCAAUCCCAAAAAACCGAUCCCAGUUCGGAUCGAAGUCUGCAACUCGACUUCGUGAAGUCGGAAUCGCUAGUAAUCGCGGAUCAGAACGCCGCGGUGAAUACGUUCCCGGGCCUUGCACACACCGCCCGU
rnacentral:rRNA from 1 species